GUUCUUACGUGAAGACAGCGAGACAGAAGUGUCUUCACCUCUCGUCUGAGAAGCACCUCUCUUUCGCGCUCCCUGGAGUGGCCAUGGCCACCAAUUCCACAAGUGCGCCGAACGCUACCACCACCGCAGCGGCGAACAGUACCGUCGGCCUGGCCGUCGGGCUGCCGCUGUUCUUCCUCGCCGUGGCCACGGGCCUCGCAGCGCUCGCGUACGUUGUCAUCAAGCGACGGGGACACAGCGUCUCAUUUCCGAGCAAGGCCAAGGACCCAGAGAGCCACGGCGGGCCGGCAGAGUCUCGGUACUCGGGCAUGGGCCCGAGGGGCCAGGCGACGCCACAGAACCCAGUGUACGAAAACAUCCGCGGGCCCAGGGCCCCGGAUAGCGCGGAAGUGGUGACUUCACACAGCAGGUCUGCAGAACCGGAUGACCUUUACAUAGAAUGUGAAUCAGACCAUGAUGCAAUUUAUUGUAAUGAUCCCUCCUUCGCACACUGCAGUCCAAAGAAAGACAAUUCUGUGGACGACGUCUACCUCAUGCCAGAUGCCUGAAAGACUCAAAAUCCAUGUUUUUUUUUUACAACCUAAACAAAAAUGUGACUGUAGGUUGUGUUAAUGUCAUUAAAAUUUUAUUUUAUAUAUAUAUAUAGAGAGAGAUCUUUUUUAUUUUUUUUCACAAAAUAAGAAAUCCUUUGUGCAACAUAUUUUGAGUCAGAUGCAAUCGAGUGCAGUAAAAUUUCCCAGGUUGCUUGGUCUCGGCAACUUUGCAGAGGAAGCCUCGCACAUUUCACUUUAUGAAGGGACAGUUGCUGAGGGCCCCCAUUUCACUUCUUCUUCACUAAAGGGAAGGAAACAGCGCGGGGGUAUUUGGUGAUGCUGACUUUGCAACUGGAGUACAACUCGACUCGCUGUGGGGCUUUGAAUGAUCCCUGGUAGGGUGGUAGGAGCCUAGUGGGUGACACACUCGCCUAUGAACCAGGAGACCCAGGUUCAAACCCCACUUACUACCAUCGUGUCCCUGAGCAAGACACUUAACCCUGAGUGUCUCCAGGGGGACUGUCCCUGUAACUACUGAUUGUAAGUCGCUCUGGAUAAGGGCGUCUGAUAAAUGCUGUAAAUGUAAAUCCGUGAUGCACCCGAUGAGGAAGUUGUUUUUUUUUUACUUUGCUUUAGCAAAUGACUCUGAGUAAUACCGUUGGGGGAAAAGUGGGCAAAGGGCUGAUGAGAGGGGCGUGGCUUCAUGAGGCAGGAGUUGUUUAGUGUGAGACAGCCAGGGACUGGAUUAAUAUUGAAUAAAAUAGGCGCUAAGCGUGUGGACCA
rnacentral:lncRNA from 1 species